UCAGAAAAAAAGGUCUCGGGGAAUCUGACAUUGCAGAAUUUCCCAAAAGGAAAAGUUCUGAAAGUUAGAGGUCUCUUGGCGACACCGCCACACAGCGAGCUCUGUUACCAAGCCCCAGAUUUUUCCCUCACAGUCGUUAGUGCUUCCAUCACUAAUUGAAACCAAAGCACAGGCAACCGCUGAGGAAAAAUCGCCAGCGUGUUAGAGACUGGAAAGUAGCCGAGGUGACACCGUGAGUAGCCAGGCAGGAAGGGCCCUUAAGAAGAAAAUUGAGGCCACUUCUGAGGGAGACAAUGCAUUCGUAAAACAAACCGCCAGGCACAGCGAGGGAGACUACUCAAAGGACAAGACAACUUCAGAAAGCCUGCAAUUAAUAAAAUUUGUAAAUGACGUUCUGUAUAUAAUCAGAUUCUUCUGGUAACUUGAAUUAAAAAGUAUCAAUGUGGAGACUAGCUGAGGAAUUAUUUUAAAAAUAAAAUUAGAAGAUCAAACUCUCAGCUCUUACAUGUGGUUAAUACUUUUCUCAGAAAUAGAAGACAGAGAAGAUGAAGAAGAAGAAAAAAACUAUCAAAGACAUGAUGAAAUUCUUCUAGAAUUUAAAACCGAAGAAGAAAUCACACAGAGAAGGAAUAAAAUCCACAGCAUCUUUCUGGCAGUCCCCAUCACGGGCUCUGCCAAGAGUUCUGGUUGCAAAACAUUGCUUUUAUAACAACAAUCAACUUCAUAAAUGGCAGAAACAUGGACUUGUUUGCUCCUGGGAGACUUUAUUAUUCAUGCAGACUUGUAUUCAAAUACAGAAGCUCCAAAGAUACUUGAGGAGAAAAGAUCCCAAGGAGAGACAAUCAAUAGAAGUGAUUUUGCAAAAUGAACUUAAAGGAUUCUUGUUCUUAGACCCAAAGGCUGGGUCUGGGCAAAGGUAUGACAUGGUCUCAUGAGACUCAAUCAAGUGAAUGAAAUUGGGACUAGAGCCUGCUGGAUACUAUCCAGUGCGUGCGAGGAAGAUGUCGGAGAUGCUUGGGGAUGAGCUCACCCCGAAACCUACACACAGACACCAUCCUGGUAGAUCCACUCUGCAAGCGUUGCUCUCCCUGCGGCAGGACUGACUGGAUCCAGGGGACACCACAGCAGAGGAGCAGAGGAGCGUCUGCUUUGAAGAGAAAACAGACUUUUUAUUAGAAGUCACUGGAAAGAAGUUACCUUUGCCUCUAAGAAGGCUGGGAUGACACUCAAUAAAAUCCAACUGUCUGCAUGUGCCAUAUUUUCACUUUCCAUUCACCAGUCAAUAGACAUCUAGGCUGAUGUGACUUCCUCCAGAAUAUAGAAAACUACAGCAACCAUGAACGCUACAUUUUCUUCGCUGUGGCAAGUCCGAUGGUUUUUCUCAUCCCUGGGAUUUCAGAUACUGUGAAUGUAAUGUUGCUGGAUGGAUGGCUGUUUGCUUUCCUUUAAAUAAUCUUGAGUUUGCUCUGACUAACAAGCUAGUUGCUUUUCCACCUGAUUCUAUCCAGACUGGUCUCAGCUUUUCUAUACACAGCUCCACUGCAGGGGCUGCUCGAGUUUACUAAGGGAUGCCCUGCGAACUUGACCAAAUACCUUGAGUGACCAACGAGAGCUUCCUGGCUAAAUGGCUAAUGGUUUAGCUGUGCCCUGCUCUGAGAACUGGCAAGUCCCCGCCCAUGCUAUGUUCUGGCUUGUGGGAUCUUUUAUCCCACGUGUGCUCAGUCUAAUAGUUUGCAAAGACACCCGACUUAUCCUGUGCAGACUGCGGUAGCUCCAUUUUGCACAGUGUUCUCUUUCAGAAGGCGCACAUCUUAAGUUCCAGUCUCCUUCUCAGUAAACCUACUGUACUUGGGUUGAGUCUUUUCCUGCAUUUUGGCCUGAAAACUGUGUGAACCAGCCAAGGGGGAGACCAUUUUGCACGUUUUUAUCAUUUGCUGUGAUAAUUAACAUGCCAAUAACGCCACGGAAGCUUUGGAAACAAGGCGGAUCGUGCCCGGAUGUCUGAGCAGCAUGCAACUCGGGAAGCCCCGUAGAAAGAUAAUCUGGUUCAUCGAAGUUGCAAUUCACUGUCCACAAGCACUGGAGUGGACACUGACGCUACAGGCCUGCCAGGCUGCACAAACGUCAGGUCAAGUACCCAUCCUGGAUCCUGUUGGAAAUGAGGAGCAUGUAAUGAAUUUGAGCUCAGGCGUUCCUCCUCCCAAGCUAGUCUGGAGAGGAAUAAGGACAAUUACAGGAGAGAUGGCCCAACACGCCCUGCUCCCCUUCUCCUAUCCCCUAUACACCAACAGCCUUCAGUUAAAAUGCAGACAGUUCUGGUAGGGAAUGAGCUGGGACUGAGAUGUGAAAUGACUACCAGCUGAAAGCAGGGUCUAUGUGGAUGUGAUGCUGACGAUGGAGGUGGAGGUCGUCUGCAAGACAUGAACCCACAUCUAAUAAGACCCAGACCAGCACCCACGACCAGGGUGCUCAGUAGCACACCGUAACCUCCCUCUCAGUGGCUUUGGGUAGCCUCAGUUCUUCAACCCGGAGAGGACAUCUGCCCAAACAAUGCGAUGGGUGUUUGACCAGGUUUAUAGUACCAAACAUGAAUUCCAACUCUGGAGCGGACCUCAAAUCCAAUCUGAAAGCCAUUCCAUGACCGCAACAGUAGGGAUGUCCUGCCAGACAGAUCGAUACUGAAGCAAGCAGGGUUCACCCCAGGGUGGAAGAUUUAAAGUCUAAACUUGCCAUUCACAAAACAGAACCUAAUCAGAGAAACAAAGGCACCGAGACACUCAUCGCCCAAACAGGACAACAGAAAGGAAACUUCAUCAAGAGGGAGCCAUGUUGGGUACUGAGACAAAGAAGGCUGCUGAGAGAAAGCAUGAACACACAGCCUCGUUAAAAAGUUUUAACCCACCACUUCUUAGGAGGACACAAUUAUAUAUAGUGAUUAUUAUGGAUUAUAACCAUUUCUGCCUCUGCUUUAGGGUUCUAUAUGCGUCUUGUCUUUUUCAAAUUAAGGCAUAAUUUGAGACCAACAUUUUCAUACUUAUUUAAUAGCCCUUUCUAAAGUCUAUCUAGAAGUGUGUGUGUGUGUGUGUGUGUGUGUGUGUGUGUGUGUGUGUGUGUGUGUCAUAGCUAAAGACUGGUUUAUGAUAAUGUAGAAAAGAACAGUAAGAAAAGUAGAAAAGUCCUGGUCCAAUUUAUAGUGUUUUGAUGGUGAUUAUUUAUCAAUACUUUGAGUUCCUCGUUGUGAAAUGAAAAGUGAAAGGAAUUCAAACACUUGACAUGCAAACACACUUCCACUUGCCACUAACUAUUAUUAGUUAGUAAUAGUUUCCAGGACUUACAGAUCCCUGGAAAAUUAAUUAGUGACUUUAUUCAGCAAAGAAUAAUAAUUUGUUUAUGUGUGAAAUUUCUAAUAUGGGUUGUUAUCCAUUAUCGCAGCAGAAGCUGACCAAUUAAUUUUCCAGGAGCUGUCUGGAGCGGUUUUAUAUUGGGGAUGUCUAUACAAAGCCAUGAUUUACUACAAAGUGUCAGUCAACUCAGAGCAAAAAAAAUAUUAAUCAAAGUGAAUGUUUGACAGCAUUAAGACGAAUCAGCCACUGGUUGAAUUUUUUCAGCCAUUUAUUCUGGUUUUAUGUAGGUAUAGAAAUAUACAAACAUGU